rnacentral:rRNA from 1 species
UUGGAGGGCAAGUCUGGUGCCAGCAGCCGCGGUAAUUCCAGCUCCAAUAGCGUAUAUUAAAGUUGUUGCAGUUAAAAAGCUCGUAGUUGAACUUCGGAAUCAAUGGAUUGGUCAUGCCGUUGGUAUGUACUGGUCAUAUUGGUACUCACCUUCUAAGGAACCAUAAUGUCAUUCAUUUGAUGUUUUGGGGAAUUAGGACUGUUACCUUGAAAAAAUUAGAGUGUUUAAAGCAGGCUAACGCUUGAAUACAUUAGCAUGGAAUAAUGAAAUAGGACAUCGCAUUCUAUUUUGUUGGUUUCUAGGAUCGAUGUAAUGAUUAAUAGGGAUAGUUGGGGGCAUUAGUAUUCAAUUGUCAGAGGUGAAAUUCUUGGAUUUAUUGAAGACUAACUACUGCGAAAGCAUUUGCCAAGGAUGUUUUCAUUAAUCAAGAACGAAAGUUAGGGGAUCGAAGACGAUCAGAUACCGUCGUAGUCUUAACCAUAAACUAUGCCGACUAGGGAUCGGAUGAUGUUGAUUUUUUAAUGACUCAUUCGGCGCCUUACGGGAAAC